UAUAUACUCCCUCCGUCCGGAAAUACUUGUCAUCAAAAUGGAUAAAAGGGAUGUAUCUAAAUGUAUUUUAGUUUUAGAUACAUCCCUUUUUCUCCAUUUUGAUGACAAGUAUUUUCGGACGGAGGGAGUAUAAU
rnacentral:pre_miRNA from 1 species